GAUGAACGCUGGCGGCGUGCCUAAUACAUGCAAGUCGAGCGAACAGAUAAGGAGCUUGCUCCUUUGACGUUAGCGGCGGACGGGUGAGUAACACGUGGGUAACCUACCUAUAAGACUGGGAUAACUUCGGGAAACCGGAGCUAAUACCGGAUAAUAUUUUGAACCGCAUGGUUCGAUAGUGAAAGAUGGUUUUGCUAUCACUUAUAGAUGGAUCCGCGCCGUAUUAGCUAGUUGGUAAGGUAACGGCUUACCAAGGCGACGAUACGUAGCCGACCUGAGAGGGUGAUCGGCCACACUGGAACUGAGACACGGUCCAGACUCCUACGGGAGGCAGCAGUAGGGAAUCUUCCGCAAUGGGCGAAAGCCUGACGGAGCAACGCCGCGUGAGUGAUGAAGGUCUUCGGAUCGUAAAACUCUGUUAUUAGGGAAGAACAUACGUGUAAGUAACUGUGCACGUCUUGACGGUACCUAAUCAGAAAGCCACGGCUAACUACGUG
rnacentral:rRNA from 1 species